UACCACAAAACCAGCUAUAAUUAUUAAAAAUUACAUAAUUGGUCUAAUAACUAACGGAAUGAUAAGACCUAAAGUACAUUAUUCUUUAUCUUCGCAUUAGUGAGGCCCGUUCUGUGGUGAAACUUACUGAAAGAGUGCAUUGAUAAAUUAAUAUUUCCAAAGGUAAAUUUUGUUCUAGAGCGAAUAAUAAGAAUUCGAUCAUUUUAGGCCACCUUAAUCUUUGGAAACUUUUAUUCCAGGUAUACGAUGGAAGCCGCAAACAGGAUGGGUUUGGUAUUACUACCAAUAUCGCUUCUAGGAAACCGGCUCUGGAUGACGAUGAUGCUUAACCUUAUACGCCUACCCUCUCGUGCCUUGCAGCCAGUAAUCAAAGCCCCAUUCAAGGCUGGACGAUUCGUAGUAUCGGUGCCAGGGAAGAUUGUGGGAGGGAUCCUGCACGUUCCCAAAAACAUUAUCGCUUCACCUUUCCGACUGAUUAAAUUCGGGUUAUCUCUGCCUUUCAAAUUCGUAGGUUUGAUUUUUAAGAUAAUUACUUUUGUGCCGAGGACAAUUCUCGAAACUGUCUUCUGAUGAGAUACACUGUUCAUUAUUAAAAUUGAUGAAUCAUGGGA